rnacentral:rRNA from 1 species
AGGACGAACGCUGGCGGCGUGCUUAACACAUGCAAGUGGAGCGACGAACCAGGGCUUGCCCUGGGGCAGAGCCGCGAACGGGUGAGUAACACGUGGGUUACCUGCCUCGAUGACCGGGACAACCCGAGGAAACUCGGGCUAAUACCGGAUGUGCCCGCAAGGGGAAAGGAAGCUUCGGCCUCCGCAUCGAGAUGGGCCCGCGGCCCAUUAGCUUGUUGGUGAGGUAACGGCUCACCAAGGCUUUGAUGGGUAGCUGGUCUGAGAGGACGAUCAGCCACACUGGGACUGAGACACGGCCCAGACUCCUACGGGAGGCAGCAGUGGGGAAUCUUGCGCAAUGCGCGAAAGCGUGACGCAGCAACGCCGCGUGGGGGAAGAAGGCUUUCGGGUUGUAAACCCCUUUCAGUUGGGACGAAGCCUCAUCGGUGAAUAGCCGCGUGGGGUGACGGUACCUUCACAAGAAGCACCGGCUAACUACGCGCCAGCAGCCGC